AGUGAACGCUGGCGGUAGGCCUAACACAUGCAAGUCGAACGGCAGCACAGUAAGAGCUUGCUCUUACGGGUGGCGAGUGGCGGACGGGUGAGGAAUACAUCGGAAUCUACUUUUUCGUGGGGGAUAACGUAGGGAAACUUACGCUAAUACCGCAUACGACCUACGGGUGAAAGCAGGGGAUCUUCGGACCUUGCGCGAUUGAAUGAGCCGAUGUCGGAUUAGCUAGUUGGCGGGGUAAAGGCCCACCAAGGCGCCGAUCCGUAGCUGGUCUGAGAGGAUGAUCAGCCACACUGGAACUGAGACACGGUCCAGACGCCUACGGGAGGCAGCAGUGGGGAAUAUUGGACAAUGGGCGCAAGCCUGAUCCAGCCAUACCGCGUGGGUGAAGAAGGCCUUCGGGUUGUAAAGCCCUUUUGUUGGGAAAGAAAAGCAGCAGGUUAAUACCCCGCUGUUCUGACGGUACCCAAAGAAUAAGCACCGGCUAACUUCGUG
rnacentral:rRNA from 1 species